AGAGUUUGAUCAUGGCUCAGAAUCAACGCUGGCGGCGUGCCUCAGACAUGCAAGUCGAACGCGAAAGUUCCCUUCGGGGGACGAUUAGAGUGGCGCACGGGUGAGUAACACGUAGGUAAUCUACCUUUGGAUGGGGAAUAACAACCGGAAACGGUUGCUAAUACCGCAUAAUGCGGCGGCACCUAAUGGUGACAGUUGUUAAAGCGGGGGAUCGUAAGACCUCGCGUCUAAAGAGGAGCCUGCGGCGGAUUAGCUAGUUGGUAAGGUAACGGCUUACCAAGGCUGUGAUCCGUAGCCGGCCUGAGAGGGCGGUCGGCCACACUGACACUGACAUACGGGUCAGACUCCUACGGGAGGCAGCAGUCGGGAAUUUUGGGCAAUGGGCGAAAGCCUGACCCAGCAACGCCGCGUGAGGGAUGAAAUCCCUCGGGAUGUAAACUUCGCAAGAACGGGAAGAAAAGGCAACUCCUAAUAUGGGUUGUUCUUGACGGUACCGGCGGAAUAAGCACCGGCUAACUACGUGCCAGCCGCCGCGGUAAUUC
rnacentral:rRNA from 1 species